ensembl:snRNA U6 U6 spliceosomal RNA
GUGCUUGCUUCAGCAGCACAUAUACUAAAAUUGGAAAGAUACAGAGAAGAUACAUGGCAGCUGUGCAAGGAUAACACGCAAAUUUGUGAAGCGUUCUAUAUUUUU